rnacentral:lncRNA from 1 species
UGCCUCCUCUAAAAGAUUCUGAAAAUCUUUUCUCUUUCACUUUCUCUUGUCUUCAAUAAUCAUAACACUCUAAACUUCCACCAUUAAAUCCUUCAUUUGUAACACGUAAUGAUGCCAAUCCUUUUUCUCAACAUUCUUCGCUUUUCUCCUCUUGGUUCCUUGGAAACUUCCAUUUAAAGGUUUUUGUUUUUAUUUGUCUUUUUUUUUGUACUCUCAGUGAUCCUUUUUUGUUUUAUUAUAUUUUUUGACUUAGCAUUAAUUUUUUUUCAAAAUUUCUUUUUGUGUUGUUGGGUUGUUAAAAGGGAUUAGAUUUGAUGGGUCAAUGGCGGACAUGGGUGAAGCGAGGAAGAUGGAGAACGGUGAGAUAGUUGUGGAGACAAGCUUUACGCGUACCGUGGGUUGGGAGCAUCAAGGAAGCUUUGGAGGAGUUGAAGCUCAAUCCUCUCCAUCUUCUCAUGGGAUGAUAAGAUUUCGGGUGCACCUCAUUAUGCAUAUAGAGUUGACUGUUGACGGUAAAAUAUGUGGUUUUUCUUUAUCAUUAAUUCUUCUUGAUUUGAUAUCCGUAUCUUAUUGAUUUGUUUUCUAAUGUUUUUGCGUGGUUGAAGGAUAAAGGUCAUCCCUCCUCGCUCGUGCAGCUUGUAGUCAUCCUCAUGCAGCCUGUAUUACUUGCUCUUAUAAAUAAUUUGGUUAUGGUAGAAGAUCAUCGGGCAUCGCACUUCCAAAUCUCUGCCCAUUGUGAGUCUUUAUAAUCCUUUAAUUUUCAGUUUUUGAUUGUAUUUAUUUCUUAUUUGAUCAUUUUUACAUGGUAUUGUAGAAUUAUAUUGCACAUGCUUAAAUUUCGUGAAAGUGGAGGUAGGUAUGGUUCUUUAGAUCUAAUAGAAAGAAAUGAAAAAACUGAUUAUAAUUUCGUAUCAUAGAAAAUCUAAGAAAUUUAGAAACAAAUAAAUCAAAUAAAACGAAACAAAAAAAGAAAAUGACUAUCAAUUUAGAAAUAAUACAAAAAAAUAGAAAGAAAUGAAAAAAAAUGAACUAUCAAUUUUGAAAUUAUCCCAGAAUAAAAAUUUACUAUCAAAUAUGAAAAAAGAAGCCCAUAUAAAGAAAUUUAGAAAUAAUUAAUUUAAUAAGAAAUAAUAAAUAAUUUAUUAAAUUGAAUCCAGAAACAAAAAAAUCAAUCAAAAGAAACAAAAAGAUUUAAACAGAAAUUAAUUUAGAAAUAAGCCCACGUAUAGAAAUCUAGAAAUAAAAAAUAAUUUAGUAAAUUGCAUCCAGAAACAAGAAAUCAUCAAAAUUAAUUUAGAAAAAAACAAAGAAAAAAAUGAAUUAUCAAAUUAGAAAUAAUAUGAGAAAAAAUUGAUUAUCAAAUAUGAAAUAAUAACUAGAAAUAAUAAAUAAUUUUGUAAGAAAUAAUAAGCUAGAAAAAAGAAGAAGCCCAUAUUAAUUUAAGGUUUAGGGUUUAGAUGCUGGGGUCUAAUGGUUCAGGGUUGAGGGUGCAGGUGCACACCUAUAGACUGUUAAUUUUUCUUUUUCUUUUUUGUCAAAUAUCUCCUUUUUGCUGCGUAUAUGUGAUCGUAGUUUUAAUUUAUUUAAAACCAGCAAGAAGUUAUUCUUUCUUUAUUCAAGGUAAAAAGAUGUGGAGAAACAUAAUCAUCAUAUGUUAUUUUAAUCUCUUACUUUAGUACUUUACAUGCCUAGUUUGAGGAGUAAAGUAAUUUGCACGAUAUGUUGAUGCUUAAUCCUAUGAAACUAUUAUAAGGAAAUUUAAGUUGACUAUCAGCAGGAUGAUGCCAGUGAAAUCAAUUGCUCUCUUGUAGAUCUAUUUGGUCCUCACCUUAUAGUUAUAGUGACUGAAAAAUGUGGUUUAUAAUUAUUCUUAUUGAUUUGGUUUUCAAUACUUUUGCGUUGCUCUAGGAGAAUGGUUGUCUCCCCUAUUGUUGCUUGUAGAGGAUCAUCGGGCACAACAGUUUCAAAUCUCUGCCCAUUGUGAGUGUUUUAUAAUUCUUUAUUUUUUUUUUGUUUUUGAAUAUUAUAAAAAAAUCUUGUAUUUAUUUGUUAUUUUAUCAUUUUUACAUCAUAAUCUAAAAUUAUAAUGCACAUGCUUAAAUUUGUUAAAAUUCUUCUAGAUAUCUUGUUAAUUUUGUGAAUAUGGAAGUAGAUAUGGUUCUUUAGAUUUACAUGAAAGAACUGAAAACAUUAAUAGGGGUUAGGGGGUUUAUGGGGUUGGGGGUCGGGGUUUAGGAACUACUUUGCCUCAUAAAUAUUUUCUUUAGUACCUCGAUAAUGUUUUCCUUUAAGAUCAGAACUUCAGAAAUUAUGGUAGCAUGUUGAGUAUUGCUGCUCUCAAGUUCUUCAUUUCUUCUUCCAAGCUGCUGAAGUAUAACAUCUUUCUCGUUGCAUUGAACCAUAUAAAUUAAAUUGAGCAAUAUGAAGCCAGCCAAGUAGUUCCUUUGAAAUACCCAUCAGCACCUCUGCAUCAUUUUCUGCCUAUAAAAACCUAAGACUUGUAGGCACGAGAGAGAUUGAAUUUUAAAAGAAAAAAGAGAGUAUAAGGGUCCAAUUCAUAAUUUGAUUUUAAGCAAGUGAAAAUGAACCAGAUUUGAAGUAUAACAUCGAUAUUACAUCAGCAAUUACAAAUUAUUUAAUUUAUUAGAGUGUCAUGAGAUAAUUGACUAAAAACAAAUUCUAGUUAGAACCUUUAAAAAACCUCACACUCUCUUCUUUCAAAAUAUCCAGAACCUUGUAGAGAAGAUAGAAAGGGAAAAGAGAAGCAGAUUAGAAAUAUAUCAACCGAAAGAAGAAGAAAAAGAUUCAUAAGCGUAGAAAUGG